rnacentral:rRNA from 1 species
GGGUCAGUAGGUUGGUCGUGCCACCGGUACGUACUGGUCUCACUGAUUCCUCCUUCCUGAAGAACCGUAAUGCCAUUAAUUUGGUGUUGCGGGGAAACAGGACUGUUACUUUGAAAAAAUUAGAGUGUUUAAAGCAAGCUAACGCUUGAACACAUUAGCAUGGAAUAAUGAAAUAGGACGAUCGAUCCUAUUUUGUUGGUUUCUAGGAUUGACGUA